rnacentral:rRNA from 1 species
GUGGGGAAUAUUGGACAAUGGGCGAAAGCCUGAUCCAGCCAUGCCGCGUGUGUGAAGAAGGUCUUCGGAUUGUAAAGCACUUUAAGUUGGGAGGAAGGGCAGUAAGUUAAUACCUUGCUGUUUUGACGUUACCGACAGAAUAAGCACCGGCUAACUUCGUGCCAGCAGCCGCGGUAAUACGAAGGGUGCAAGCGUUAAUCGGAAUUACUGGGCGUAAAGCGCGCGUAGGUGGUUUUGUAAGUUGGAGGUGAAAUCCCCGAGCUCAACCUGGGAACUGCCUCCAAAACUGCAUGACUAGAGUACGGUAGAGGGUAGUGGAAUUUCCUGUGUAGCGGUGAAAUGCGUAGAUAUAGGAAGGAACACCAGUGGCGAAGGCGACUACCUGGACUGAUACUGACACUGAGGUGCGAAAGCGUGGGGAGCAAACAGGAUUAGAAACCCCUGUAGUCC